rnacentral:rRNA from 1 species
CAGCCGCCGCGGUAAUACGUAGGGGGCAAGCGUUGUCCGGAAUCAUUGGGCGUAAAGAGCGUGUAGGCGGCUCGGUAAGUCCGCUGUGAAAGUCCAGGGCUCAACCCUGGAAUGCCGGUGGAAACUGUCGAGCUAGAGUCCGGAAGAGGCGAGUGGAACUCCUGGUGUAGCGGUGAAAUGCGCAGAUAUCAGGAAGAACACCAAUGGCGAAGGCAGCUCGCUGGGACGGUACUGACGCUGAGACGCGAAAGCGUGGGGAGCAAACAGGAUUAGAUACCCCCGUAGUCCCUGUCUCUUAUAC